GGACCCGCACAAGCGGUGGAGCAUGUGGUUUAAUUCGAUGCAACGCGAAGAACCUUACCAGGGUUUGACAUCCUGCGAAUCUCUUGGAAACAGGAGAGUGCCUUCGGGAACGCAGUGACAGGUGGUGCAUGGCUGUCGUCAGCUCGUGUCGUGAGAUGUUGGGUUAAGUCCCGCAACGAGCGCAACCCACGUCUUUAGUUGCCAGCAUUUAGUUGGGGACUCUAGCGAGACUGCCAGUGAUAAACUGGAGGAAGGUGGGGAUGACGUCAAAUCAUCAUGCCCCUUAUGACCUGGGCUACACACGUACUACAAUGCUACGGACAAAGGGCAGCAAGUUCGCGAGGACAAGCAAAUCCCAUAAACCGUGGCUCAGUUCAGAUCGUAGGCUGCAACUCGCCUACGUGAAGGCGGAAUCGCUAGUAAUCGC
rnacentral:rRNA from 1 species